rnacentral:rRNA from 1 species
UACGAAGGGGGCUAGCGUUGCUCGGAAUCACUGGGCGUAAAGCGCACGUAGGCGGAUCGCUAAGUCAGGGGUGAAAUCCUGGAGCUCAACUCCAGAACUGCCUUUGAUACUGGCAAUCUCGAGUCCGGGAGAGGUGAGUGGAACUGCGAGUGUAGAGGUGAAAUUCGUAGAUAUUCGCAAGAACACCAGUGGCGAAGGCGGCUCACUGGCCCGGUACUGACGCUGAGGCACGAAAGCGUGGGGAGCAAACGGG